AUAAUCUAUGCAAGUCGAGCUCGGUAACAGUGUUACAACUUCUUAUUUGCACGGUGUCGGGGACACACAUUACGGUAAAAAUUCAAGUUUCACCACUCAUGACCACUGUUCCUUUUCAUAAUUUAAAUUGUGUUUAGAUAAGAUAGUAUAAAUAAACAAACUUAAUUAGUAUUUUUUUUAUUUUUCUUUUGUAUGAAGAUUAAGAAAUGUGAGACUAGUGACAAGUAGAUCAGUUUAGAGUAGUCAUCAGAAUUUGGAUUCUAGAUCGGGUUUAGAUAAUUUGAAUGGGGAUUUUAUUAUCCAUUCAAGUUUAAAAU
rnacentral:lncRNA from 1 species